UGCUGCAUUCUGGGAAAGCGGGAGAUACGGGUUAGAAAGUCGGAGUCACAAAAUAAACGUUAAUUAAUAUACUGUAUUAUCACUUGAUGUAUUAGUAGAGCCAGCAACAUUACAUACUUAAAACUUUUUUUUCCAAACGUAGCUUCUGUUAUCAAAGGGGAAACUUAAGAAGGAACACUGAGUGUUGAGGAUGCCGAAAGAUCUGACUGAAAGCCAUAGAAGAUUUUUGCAAGAAAUGAUGCAAUGUGGAAUAAUGGAUGUCUCAAAGUGCAAUUCUCUUUAUAAAAAAUGCUGUGAAAUACAUAAAGCCAAUUAUAUUCCUGAUAAAUUGGACGACUUUGUAAAUGAAAUCAACACUCAUCUACAACCGAUGUUCAUGCAUAUUAGAUGUGGAAUGUCUGAGGAAGAUGGACAACAGUAUUAUGCAUUGGUGAAUCUUGCUGAUACAGAAAUAACUAGGAUGGCAACAGAUUAUUCAGACAAUGAAUUAGAAUUGUUUAGAAAAGCUAUGGACUUGAUACUUGACUCUGACAAUGGAUUGGCAUCGUCAACUGAUAUUCUUAAUCUUGCCGACACAGUGCAAACAAAAAAGAUGAAAAAGAAAGAUGCAGAGCAAGUUUUACAAAGACUAGUCCAAAACAAAUGGCUUUGUGAGAAAAAUGGAGAAUAUUCAUUAAGCACCCGCUGUAUUAUUGAAAUGGAGCCAUACAUUAGAAAUGUUUACCAGGAUUCGGUGUGCAACAUUUGCCACAAUGUAGCAGUACAGAGUCAGAUGUGUGAAAAUUCAUUAUGUGGAAUAAGAAUGCACUUCCCAUGUGUUGCAAGAGUCUUCCGAGGUCAACCAGAACCUCACUGUCCUGCUUGCAAGGACUUCUGGCCUCAUGAGAUUCCAGAAUUGAAUAUUUCACAUUCCCAGUUACCAGCACCAAGUCAGCCAGGGCCAUCUAAUGAAAAGACAUCCAGAUACGGCAGGCCAAGAAGAUGAAGACCCUUCUUUACUCUUUGUUGUUUUUCAUUUAUACUCGGACAAUUCCUUAGGCAAGCACUGAACAUUCAGACUCAAGCUGUAGCAUAAUCCUCCAUAUGGAGAUCUGCAACAAGAACAACUUCAAAGGAACUUUGCCUCAGCAAACACUUCAGGCCAUGUAAUAUAUCUAUAGUGGCAAGGUGGAUUUUUAUACAUACAGUAUAUAUAACACAGGUUUGUAACUUCCCUCAGACAGGGUAUGUUGAAACUGAACAAAGUCCUCUUAAAUACUGAUAAAUAUGAAGCAAUGCUGAUCCUACGCAUGACCUGUAAGAUAAUGGAGAGGGAAACUGUGGUUUCAACUGACAAAUUCUUAAAUUAUUGUAUUUUUAACUUAACAUAAAUGGUUAAAAUAAUUGAACAAAUGUUGAUAAAAUUUACACUCCUUUUUAAAUAUUGUAAUAUGCAAUAGAUGAAAAAGUUUAUUUAGCUGUACUGAUGAAGAAACUCUCUCCUAUGUCUUGCUGGCAGCAUGUGUCAUAGCGCAGGUGACUCGGGACAGGACUGCGUUCACAGGACCUGCAUGUUUAUUGCCAAGCACAUUUUAGUUGAAAGAGCUGUGAUUAAACUCUUUUUUCUGUGCAUGAUCUGUAUAUUAUACUGCAUUUUUUUUUUACUUUGCAAUGUAUGUUGAAUUGGUGAUUUAUGUAAAAAACGCAAUAUAAAACAAAAACAUUGUCAGUUUAACAAGACUGUUCAUUCAUACCAUGACAGUGGGUUCAAAUGGUGUAAUUUUUCUAUUAUGUACUAAAAAUCCUUUAAAUGAUGUGGUUCAUCUGUAGGGCUUACAGGCCUCUCCAAAAUUAUUGGCACCCCUGGUAA